GUGGGGAAUAUUGCACAAUGGGCGCAAGCCUGAUGCAGCCAUGCCGCGUGUGUGAAGAAGGCCUUCGGGUUGUAAAGCACUUUCAGCGGGGAGGAAGGCGAUAAGGUUAAUAACCUUGUUGAUUGACGUUACCCGCAGAAGAAGCACCGGCUAACUCCGUGCCAGCAGCCGCGGUAAUACGGAGGGUGCAAGCGUUAAUCGGAAUUACUGGGCGUAAAGCGCACGCAGGCGGUCUGUCAAGUCGGAUGUGAAAUCCCCGGGCUCAACCUGGGAACUGCAUUCGAAACUGGCAGGCUAGAGUCUUGUAGAGGGGGGUAGAAUUCCAGGUGUAGCGGUGAAAUGCGUAGAGAUCUGGAGGAAUACCGGUGGCGAAGGCGGCCCCCUGGACAAAGACUGACGCUCAGGUGCGAAAGCGUGGGGAGCAA
rnacentral:rRNA from 1 species